rnacentral:rRNA from 1 species
AUACGGAAGGUCCGGGCGUUAUCCGGAUUUAUUGGGUUUAAAGGGAGCGCAGGCGGAGAUGCAAGCGUGACGUCAAAUUUCGGGGCUCAACCCCGUCUCGCGUCGCGAACUGCGUCCCUUGGUUGCGGGAAGGGGAGGCGGAACUCGUGGUGUAGCGGUGAAAUGCAUGGAUAUCACGAAGAACUCCGAUCGCGAAGGCAGCCUUCCGGCCCGUCAACGACGCGCAUGCUCGAAGGUGCGGGUAUCAAACAGGAUUAGAUACCCUGGUAGUCCGCACAGUAAACGAUGGACACCCGCGGUUUGGCCUGUAUGGCUGAGCCGCCAAGCGAAAGCGUUAAGUGUCCCACCUGGGGAGUACGCCGGCAACGGUGAAACUCAAAUGAAUUGACGGGG